CUCAAGGUAUAUACAAUGAACACACAAAGGGGUCCACAUGCAAUUAUCUAAUUAUUGGAUGCAUCAGAUUAACGUGCUGAAUGAAUCACAUGUGUAUACUUGAGACAAAUGAAUGUAUUAAUGGUUAGUAAUUUUUUUAUCUAUCCUUUUUACAUGUCCUCGAGGGUGACCAUAGUAGCAUCUUGAGCCCAAAUACAGUCCUGCCAUCUAACACCGCCUGUAAUUUUUUAGCUACAGGAAUUUGGACCGUCCUGCAAGAAGAAUCAGUUGAGAAGAUUGGACUAUGCUACUUCUCUAAGGCUGAGUAUACACUCUUUGUUGUUAAUUGUAGUGAUAGUUACUAUUAUUGAAUUGCUAAGGUGACAAACUGACAGUUAUUGCUUGAUGAGCUUACUCUUGUUCAUCACAUUGCAUCCCUCUUACACGGGAAUCAUCAAAUGUUCACACAUAUGUAUGUCCUUUAGUUUUCAUUUGCUCUUUUUUAUUUUUUCUUCCCCUUUUUGUGUGGAUAAUCCAAUUUCUUAUGUUGUCAAUGGAUCUUAAACAUCUUCACUUCUGAUUUCUAUUUCAAACAGACAGUGCAGCUUUGACGGCCUCUUAUUUCAUGCCGACAAGUGUAUUUUGUUCCAUUAGAAAUAUAUAACUAUAUUUUAUUCCUGAGAGAGCAAUCUUAUACGGGAAUAUAGUGUUGUAUUUUGUGCACCCUCAUUUGGCAAGAGUUCAGGUUACUAUUUUGUCUCUGUGUGAAAGUUCUCACAUUAGUUCAUGCAGAAUAUGUCUAUAUUUUUACCAAGGGGUUCCAAUGAUUCGAGGACUGCAUAUGUGCAGAUCUAGAAACUCUUUCUUCCCAAGAUGGGCAAUGUGCAGAUCUAGAAAUGGUAUGUCCCCUAUGCGUGUAUGACUGUUGGUGGAGAUGUUCAUACUUUAGGAUCUUUGGUUCCUGAGUUAGUGAGGUGCAUGCUCUCGACCCUGACAUCUACUUACUCUAUUGUCAUCUAUAGUCUGUAUUGUGCUCUGCGCUUAAUGUGCAUUGGGUGCAUAGCAGAACAUGAAUUUCAGAUGCCCUUAUUUGUUUGAUGAAAUGCCUCCUUGAUCUGCAUGCCAGGUAUUAUAGCAUACUGUAUAUGGCUUCUAAGCUCUUUGAAAGUUUAGGACACAAUAGGAAGUCAUAUUACAGCGGUUUCCGAUUAAUAACAAAGCUGAAAGCACAAUCUCUAUUUUUCGAGGACAGCAAAAUUGUUUUCUAGAACUGAUAGUUUCUUCGGUAUUUUUUUGUUUGCUUUCUGUUACUUUAUAACUGAAUAUGAAUAUGCAGUUAGCUUAUUUUUCUUUUAUGUGAUAUGUGAGUAAAUAGCAGUUAGCUGCAUGGGUUACUGUGGUUUCAAGCUCAACUUUUGUGUUAUCUAGCUGCAGUGCUAGGACUGGUUGUUUCCCAAAGAGAUGAUAUGACCAUGAGUUUAUGGCCUUUUUGAGCUUGAUGUCUUCUGUAUAAGAGAAAUGAAGUCUUCGGCAUGUACACUGUGUAAACAAUCAUUGGAAAGGCGAGAGGAAGAUAAGAGGAGCAUAUAGAAGUUUGUGAUUUGUAUAGGAGGCCUUGUUGGUUUGUGAAACAAUGACUAUCCUAGCACAAGAUCUAAUCAUGGAAAUUUCCUUAUUGUACAGUUUUCCAUUUUGAAAUAGUAGACCUUUCUCCAUUGUUGAGAUGUUGAUAGGACAAGUUUUCAUUGCUUAUCUUACCAGGACUAAGAUUAGCCUGGAGAAAGUGUGGCUUGCAUGCCAUGUCAUACACAAAUUAUUAAAUUUUCGUUCUUUAUUUUUUGUUCAUGAAUGUUGCACUCCUGGAGGUGAGACUCAGAAUGGGUGCAUAAUGGUCCUGGCUACCGGAGAACUCUUCAAGCUCGUGGUGCGUGCUGUAACUCCCACUGUGGCGCUGUAGUCGAGCCCAUCAAUUCAAAUUCUGAAGAUAACAUGUAGCCUGAAUCCAAGAGGGAACAAAUCCAGUUGUUCCAAGACGCGUUCUUUUUUGUAUAUCUUGUUGACAGUUUGCAUCUCUGCCAUGUUCACUUGGACAAUGCAUAUAUGUAUUACAAGUCCUUCCAA